AGAAUUUUUAGAGCUUGUUUGAGUAGAUUUUUACAAAAUGUCAAUUAUAAGGACUACAACGUAAUUUUUUAAGUUUAUGACUAUUGUCUGAUUUGGAGAGUCUAAGAGGGGCCAUAUGAUGUUGAUGAGAUGUGCUUGUGGAAAUUGAGAUUUAAAAGUGUUAUUUAAAUCUUUUUGCUAGUUGGACAGGUCUUAGAUAUAGGGAAAAUUCUAUUAAAUUUUCAGCAUAAAUUAUAGUAUGUUUGCCUUUUUAAAUUUAUUUUUAUUGAAUUAGCACUAAUAAAUUCAC
rnacentral:misc_RNA from 1 species